rnacentral:rRNA from 1 species
CCUACGGGGUGUAGCAGUGGGGAAUAUUGGACAAUGGGCGAAAGCCUGAUCCAGCCAUGCCGCGUGUGUGAAGAAGGCCUUCGGGUUGUAAAGCACUUUCAGUGGGGAAGAAAGCCUUGGGGCUAAUACCCUCGAGGAAGGACAUCACCCACAGAAGAAGCACCGGCUAACUCCGUGCCAGCAGCCGCGGUAAUACGGAGGGUGCGAGCGUUAAUCGGAAUUACUGGGCGUAAAGCGCGCGUAGGCGGUCUGAUAAGCCGGUUGUGAAAGCCCCGGGCUCAACCUGGGAACGGCAUCCGGAACUGUCAGGCUAGAGUGCAGGAGAGGAAGGUAGAAUUCCCGGUGUAGCGGUGAAAUGCGUAGAGAUCGGGAGGAAUACCAGUGGCGAAGGCGGCCUUCUGGACUGACACUGACGCUGAGGUGCGAAAGCGUGGGUAGCAAACAGGAUUAGAUACCCCAGUAGUC